GACCCUGUGUGUCAAAAACAAGUCCUUGUCAAUCAAGGGCAGGUUCGUCCCAUUCGUGCGCAGUAUGCUAUACGCUACCUGUAUGGUCCCAACACACGGUGGGGUGGCCAAAGAGGACAAGAGUCCCCCGCCCAUCAGGAGCGGCAGAAAGCUGCUUUGGUUCUGAGGGCAAGCACCAUGUGAGUCCUGACUCGGACGCGGUUGGUGGUAUGCCGGGAGAUUUUGGAAACGGUGCAAAAGUGAGUGCGCUUCAUCACCUUCACGUCACAUGACGACGGCGUGUCGUCGAGGUCCAGCUGCUUCCUGUAGAAAGGUCCUCUGGCCACACACAACGACAAAAAGUCCAACACAGGCCUCGGAAAUCACGGGCGGGAGGCUUAUUGACCUGUCGCCAUCCUGGAUGUGGUCUUGCUUCUGGCCCCGGACAGUGCCGCAGUAUUCCCCCGUGGGCAGGUAUACCUCCAUGGUCUGCGCCUCGCUGAUUAUCGUCAGGCGGCCGAUGGCGGCGACCCCGGCGAGGCCGCAGCUCAGCAUCAGGACGCAGGGUUCGCUCGUGUUGGCAUCCGCCCUCUCCAACAGGACACCGUCGCCCCUGAGACGCAGUUUAAUAGAUAGCUGUGAAGCUCCUGAAGUAUGCAGACGACACCACUCUCAUCGGACUGAUCCAGGACGGUGAUGAGACUGCGUACAGACAGGAGGUGGAGCGGCUGGUCCACUGGUGCAGCCAAAACCACCUGGAGCUGAACCCGUUCAAGACCGUGGAGAUGACAGUGGACUUCAGACACCUUCAAGUUCCUGGGAACCACAGUCUCUCGGGACCUGAAAUGGACCGGCCACAUAGACUCUGUCCGGAAGAAGGCCCAUCAGAGGCUGUACUUCCUGAGACAGCUCAAGAAGUUCAACCUCCCGCGAGAGCUGCUGAAGACCUUCUACACUGCCAUCAUCCAGUCUGUCCUCUGCACCGCCAUCACUGUCUGGUUUGGAUCGGCCUCCAAACAAGACAAGCACAGACUGCAACGGACAAUCAGGACUGCAGAAAAGAUCAUUGGAAUCAACCUCCCAUCUAUCCAAGACUUGUACCUGUCCAGGACCAGGAAACGUGCAAGGAACAUCUCUACAGACCCUUCUCACCCAGGUUGCAGUCUGUUUGAACUACUCUUCUUCGGACGGCGUUAUAGAGCUCUGUACGCCAAAACCAGCAGACACAGAGACAGCUUCUUCCCCCAGGCUGUUGCUCUGAUGAAUUCACACCACUCUUGGAGUCUCAGAGUCA